AGAGCCGUCAACAUCCCCAAAGUGGUCUUUAAAUAGCUACAAGAGGCCAAUAUCAUUAGAUAAGCUUUAUUGCCUUUCCCAAGAGUAAUAUUAUCAAGCCGCACUAGUGAGACUAUAGUGCCAGUGUCCUGCGGUCAUUCCCAUCCGUGUUCUGAAUGCCAAGCCGAGAGCGUUGCCGCCGCCGCCGCAGACAAACCAUUAGUCUCAGCAACUCGCAGACAAUGUUGGGCCAGCGAGGUGGUGGAGGAGAGGCAGAGCAGACGAAAUGAGGACCCAAGAGUGACAUCGAACAGCCGAUGUGUUUGUUUUCCAUCGCAGAGAGGAAUCAUUGCAUAAAAGAGGGGAGGAACACCAACUCCAAAAUCCUACCCUGGCUCCCAAAGAUGUUCCUUCACUGGAAACCCACUAGAGAGAGAGAGUGGAGGAGAAAGGCAGACCAUGACCAAGUGAUAACCAAGAGAACCCGAUCACACACAACAACAACAACAGCCAGAGGAACAUGCAAUGUGAUGGAGCCAUACACUGAAAGGG